AGAAUCAACGCUGGCGGCGUGCCUAACACAUGCAAGUCGCACGAGAAAGGGUAGCAAUACCUGAGUAAAGUGGCGCACGGGUGAGUAACACGUGAAUAAUCUACCUCCGAGUGGGGGAAUAAACUGAGAGAAAUCUUAGCUAAUACCGCAUAACACUUACGAGUCAAAGCAGCAAUGCGCUUGGAGAGGAGUUCGCGGCAGAUUAGUUAGUUGGCGGGGUAAUGGCCCACCAAGACGAUGAUCUGUA
rnacentral:rRNA from 1 species